rnacentral:rRNA from 1 species
CGAAUGCUGACAUAAGUAACGAUAAAGCGGGUGAAAAGCCCGCUCGCCGGAAGACCAAGGGUUCCUGUCCAACGUUAAUCGGGGCAGGGUGAGUCGACCCCUAAGGCGAGGCCGAAAGGCGUAGUCGAUGGGAAACAGGUUAAUAUUCCUGUACUUGGUGUUACUGCGAAGGGGGGACGGAGAAGGCUAUGUUGGCCGGGCGACGGUUGUCCCGGUUUAAGCGUGUAGGCUGGUUUUCCAGGCAAAUCCGGAAAAUCAAGGCUGAGGCGUGAUGACGAGGCACUACGGUGCUGAAGCAACAAAUGCCCUGCUUCCAGGAAAAGCCUCUAAGCAUCAGGUAACAUCAAAUCGUACCCCAAACCGACACAGGUGGUCAGGUAGAGAAUACCAAGGCGCUUGAGAGAACUCGGGUGAAGGAACUAGGCAAAAUGGUGCCGUAACUUCGGGAGAAGGCACGCUGAUAUGUAGGUGAAGUC